rnacentral:rRNA from 1 species
AGUGAACGCUGGCGGUAGGCCUAACACAUGCAAGUCGAACGGCAGCACAGUAAGAGCUUGCUCUUACGGGUGGCGAGUGGCGGACGGGUGAGGAAUACAUCGGAAUCUACUUUUUCGUGGGGGAUAACGUAGGGAAACUUACGCUAAUACCGCAUACGACCUACGUGUGAAAGCAGGGGAUCUUCGGACCUUGCGCGAUUGAAUGAGCCGAUGUCGGAUUAGCUAGUUGGCGGGGUAAAGGCCCACCAAGGCGACGAUCCGUAGCUGGUCUGAGAGGAUGAUCAGCCACACUGGAACUGAGACACGGUCCAGACUCCUACGGGAGGCAGCAGUGGGGAAUAUUGGACAAUGGGCGCAAGCCUGAUCCAGCCAUACCGCGUGGGUGAAGAAGGCCUUCGGGUUGUAAAGCCCUUUUGUUGGGAAAGAAAAGAAGCAGGUUAAUACCCCGAUGUUCUGACGGUACCCAAAGAAUAAGCACCGGCUAACUUCGUG